rnacentral:lncRNA from 1 species
CGUCAAACCUAAGGGGAAGUGUCUACGUACUCAUAAAACAAUUAAGAGAGGUUAGUGUCAUGUUUAAAACUAGAGCGAGUGUGAGUUUUAUUAGAUAGAUAGAUAGAUAUAUAGAUUAAGUGUUAGUUGGUUACCAAUUAGUUAGGCUAUAUAAAGGCAAAUGCUUUGGUGUAAUCAUUUUCACUCACACUUUACUUUUGUAUUAAAUUCAUCUUCAUCAAUACAAGUUAUUUCUCUCUAUUUUCUCUUUACUUUCAUGGAUAUCAGGUUUACUAACAUGGUAUCGGAGCAAAUAUGGUAUCCACCAUGAAGAUCUUUUCUGCUAGCUGCACUUUCUUGAGAAAAUUCAAUUUCUCAUUGUUCAUUUUUCUCUGUUUUUCUUUAAUUUCAUUCUCAUUGAUUUGUUGGUCCUCUGAUGUGCUAAUUACCUUUAGCACAACUUGAGUAUUGUUGUUUCACUUUGUUGCCAUCGAAUUUUCUGACAUUCACUUUUUUGUUUCUGUCAUGAGUGUUAACUGCUCUUGAUGGUUAAGCUUUGUGCCAUUUGUUGGCUUUGUUGAUGUUAGGUUUUGUUAAGUUGUUAAGUCUUGAGUUAUGACUUCUGCUUAAUGGUUAAGCAUCUUGCCUUAUGGCUUUGUUUUCAGCCGAUGUAUUUUCCGCAUCUCUCAUUAUAUUUCUGAUAUGUUUCUAUAUUAUGCAUCAGAAGCUUAAAGUGUUAUUGCGGAAGGGUAUUAGAGAUAUAGAUUGAUAUAGAUUAAGAAUUAGUUAGUUACUAAUUAGUUAGCUUAUAUAAAGACUUAUAUAUAAUCAUUUUCACUCAUUUUUUUACUUUUGUAUCAAAUUCAUCUUCAUUAAAACAAGUUAUUUUUUUCUAUUUUCUCUCUACGAUAUCAUAUUUACUAACAAGUUUUUUUAUGAAAUCUCAAAGAAGAUAAAUGUAAUUUUCCCAAUAAAUUUUGUCAGAAUAAUUAAGAAGCAAUAUAGCAUACUGUAUAUAACUUGGUUUAGUUUAAAAUAAAAAACCAUACACAAUUAAUCCAUUGAAUAUAAAAGUAGAAUAUCCAUUUCAUUGACUCGUGAAAUUUUUAGCACUUCGCAGACUUUGAAUUUAUUCACCGGUCAGUCAGUGAAUGGUUAUGACAAAAUUGAUUUUCCAUUUUCAAUAUCACAGCACACUAUAAUAUUUUGAGAUAGUAGUCAUU